ensembl:lncRNA
ACACACCUGAUGCCCAUCAAGGUGAACGGCAUUUAAGCCAGGAGGUGACUGCUGGUCUUCGCUGGAUCGUUGUCUACCACGUGUCAGUGAGAGUCAAGCUACAGCUCAAGAUAAGUCAAGUGUCUUUUGUGAAUAUCGUACUCAUUCCUGUUUCCUCAUCUACAGACCCCUUGGAUUACCUUUCCCGUGUGAAUCUCUGUGUCAAGUGUGAAGAAAGGAACUGUAGUCGUGUAUGUGGAGAGUUGGAGAGCGAGUGAUUCCCCCCUUGGAUUUUCCUGGAGCCCUGUCCCUCACAUUGUUGUAUAUAGCACUGCCUUGCACUCUCUGUAUACACAUCUGGUGAACUCUGUAAAUAAAUUCUUGUGUUCAGCUGAUUCAGGAGUCCUGCGUUUGAGGCCCCUGCAUUGAACCUUAACAUAACGAUCCAGCCAGAAUAUGGACUCAGCGGACUCUACCACCCAGCAGCGCGUCCUCACGGCCAAGGACGUUUUGGAACGCCACGAACAAAUGCUGCAGCUCAUCAAUCAGCAGUUGGCUGCUCUAACGCAGGCCCUCGCUCAGCGUGUACCUUUGGUAAACCCAGCAGCCUCUCCUCCCUCUGUCUCCUCACAGUUAUCGGCUUCUGAGCCUCCGGCACCCGGGCCUUCGGCUCCGCCUCAUCCCACUCCUUCGGAGCCCCCGGAGCGAGCUUUGCCAACACCGGAACCCUUCACGGGUGGACAAGCAUUUACGUGUGCGCUGGAGAACUGAGGACUACAUUUCCCAGAGGUCUCUGGGACGCGGCGAAGCAGCAUCGGGCGGAAGCGUCACGAGUGGCGGAAGAGAUUCGGAGUCACACAACAUGGAGGAGGAAUAUGAGGAGCAGACAGAGAGUGAAACUAAGUUCAGACGAAGGAUGACAGGUUGCCCUGGCAACAGACCUCAGAAAGGGGAAGUUAUUGCAAGCUGC